rnacentral:rRNA from 1 species
AACGAACGCUGGCGGCAGGCCUAACACAUGCAAGUCGAGCGGACCUUUCGGGGUCAGCGGCGGACGGGUGAGUAACGCGUGGGAAUAUGCCCUUCUCUACGGAAUAGUCCUGGGAAACUGGGGGUAAUACCGUAUACGCCCUUUGGGGGAAAGAUUUAUCGGGGAAGGAUUAGCCCGCGUUGGAUUGGGUAGUUGGGGGGGUAAUGGCCUACCAAGCCGACGAUCCAUAGCUGGUUUGAGAGGAUACUAAGCCACACUGGGACUGGGACACGGCCCAGACGCCGGGGGGGGGGAGAAGGGGAGAAGAGGAGACAACGGGGGUAACCCGGAGCGAGCCAGGGGGGGGUAGGGAGGAAGUGCGCAGGGUGGGAAAGCGCCUACAGGGGGGAAAAAUAUGCCGGGACCAGCAGAAGAAGCCGCGGCCCCCUCCGCGCCGGCAGGCGGGGUAAUAAGGGGAAGAGAACACGUCUGAAC